UACGUAGGUCCCGAGCGUUAUCCGGAUUUAUUGGGCGUAAAGCGAGCGCAGGCGGUUAGAUAAGUCUGAAGUUAAAGGCUGUGGCUUAACCAUAGUACGCUUUGGAAACUGUUUAACUUGAGUGCAGAAGGGGAGAGUGGAAUUCCAUGUGUAGCGGUGAAAUGCGUAGAUAUAUGGAGGAACACCGGUGGCGAAAGCGGCUCUCUGGUCUGUAACUGACGCUGAGGCUCGAAAGCGUGGGGAGCAAAC
rnacentral:rRNA from 1 species